AUUGAACGCUGGCGGCAUGCCUUACACAUGCAAGUCGAACGGCAGCACGGGUGCUUGCACCUGGUGGCGAGUGGCGAACGGGUGAGUAAUGCAUCGGAACGUGCCCAGUCGUGGGGGAUAACGCAGCGAAAGUUGUGCUAAUACCGCAUACGUCCUGAGGGAGAAAGCAGGGGAUCUUCGGACCUUGUGCGAUUGGAGCGGCCGAUGUCAGAUUAGCUAGUUGGUGAGGUAAAAGCGCACCAAGGCGACGAUCUGUAGCUGGUCUGAGAGGAUGAUCAGCCACACUGGAACUGAGACACGGUCCAGACUCCUACGGGAGGCAGCAGUGGGGAAUUUUGGACAAUGGGGGCAACCCUGAUCCAGCCAUGCCGCGUGAGUGAAGAAGGCCUUCGGGUUGUAAAGCUCUUUCGGCCGGGAAGAAAUCGUGCAGGCUAAUACCCUGUAUGGAUGACGGUACCGGAAUAAGAAGCACCGGCUAACUACGUGCCAGCAGCCGCCGUAACAC
rnacentral:rRNA from 1 species